GAGUGGAACCGUUCAGGGAAUGCGUGGUGGAGCGUCUGGCAUGUCAGGCAAUUGGAUGGUGCUCAUGACACCGAUGCACCUCAAGGACAACCCUUCUCUCUGUCUCUGCUUCUCUGUCUCCUUGUGUCUGUUUCUGGGUGGCAGUCUCCCUCCAUAUCUCAUCUCUCAGUAUUCCUGUUUCUGUAGUUAUAUGGCCCUGUCUCUAUCACCGCCGUGCAGUCUCUCCUUGCAUUGGAGUCACCUUUCCAAACACAGGCAGCCUAGAGUCAUGUCCAUCUGUAGCCAAGUGUAUUGUGUGUGAUGUUGCCCCCGACCUAGAAGAGUCCCAUCACUUCUUUUGGGGGCACCUCCCUCCAAGGGCCAGGAGGGCCACGCCCUGUGCAGCUAAGGCGACUGGGAGUUCUGGGGCUCUGCCUGCGCUUGGUUUCCACCAGCCCACAAGCAACAGCAUGGCAGCCAUCCCCUCCAUCCGCUCGCUCCAGACCACACAUGGCCAUUACCGGCACUGUCUGGGUUCCAUUUCCAGUAACAGCUCCUGCAGAAGUGCAGAGUAUCCUGGGGAAGCCAUCGCUCACCACCCAGCUUCUUUUUCAGGAAGUCCACUCUCCUGUUCAUGACUACAGUGUUGGGAGUCCCCAGAACCCUCAGGAUCUCUCCAGGCCUCCAGCGGCCGGAUCACCUAUGACUUCGCUCUGGAAGCUGUGA